rnacentral:rRNA from 1 species
AAUAGAUACCCUGGUAGUCCACGCCGUAAACGAUGAGUGCUAAGUGUUGGGGGUUUCCGCCCCUCAGUGCUGCAGCUAACGCAUUAAGCACUCCGCCUGGGGAGUACGGUCGCAAGACUGAAACUCAAAGGAAUUGACGGGGGCCCGCACAAGCGGUGGAGCAUGUGGUUUAAUUCGAAGCAACGCGAAGAACCUUACCAGGUCUUGACAUCCCGGUGACCACUAUGGAGACAUAGUUUCCCCUUCGGGGGCAACGGUGACAGGUGGUGCAUGGUUGUCGUCAGCUCGUGUCGUGAGAUGUUGGGUUAAGUCCCGCAACGAGCGCAACCCUUAUUCUUAGUUGCCAUCAUUUAGUUGGGCACUCUAAGGAGACUGCCGGUGAUAAACCGGAGGAAGGUGGGGAUGACGUCAAAUCAUCAUGCCCCUUAUGACCUGGGCUACACACGUGCUACAAUGGACGGUACAAACGGUUGCCAACCCGCGAGGGGGAGCUAAUCCGAUAAAACCGUUCUCAGUUCGGAUUGUAGGCUGCAACUCGCCUACA